rnacentral:rRNA from 1 species
UACAGAGGUCCCAAGCGUUGUUCGGAUUCACUGGGCGUAAAGGGUGCGCAGGCGGUAAAGUAAGUCAGUGGUGAAAUCCCUUCGCUCAACGAAGGAACUGCCAUUGAUACUGCUAUACUUGAAUAUAGUCGAAGUGGGCGGAAUGUGACAUGUAGCGGUGAAAUGCUUAGAUAUGACACAGAACACCGAUUGCGAAGGCAGCUCACUAAGCCAUAACUGACGCUGAUGCACGAAAGCGUGGGGAGCAAACAGG